GAUGAACGCUAGCGGCAGGCUUAAUACAUGCAAGUCGAGGGGCAGCAGGUUUGUAGCAAUACAGAUGCUGGCGACCGGCAAACGGGUGCGGAACACGUACACAACCUUCCUUUAAGUGGGGAAUAGCCCAGAGAAAUUUGGAUUAAUACCCCGUAACAUUAUGAUGUGGCAUCACAUUAUAAUUAUAGCUCCGGCGCUUAAUGA
rnacentral:rRNA from 1 species